rnacentral:rRNA from 1 species
UACGAAGGGGGCUAGCGUUGCUCUGAAUGACUGGGCGUAAAGGGCGCGUAGGCGGUGGGGUAAGUCUGGUGUGAAAUCUCGGAGCUCAACUUCGAAAUUGCACUGGAUACUGCUCUGCUAGAGGGCUGGAGAGGAGAUCGGAAUUCACGGUGUAGCAGUGAAAUGCGUAGAUAUCGUGAGGAAGACCAGUGGCGAAGGCGGAUCUCUGGACAGCUCCUGACGCUGAGGCGCGAAGGCUAGGGGAGCAAACGGG